rnacentral:rRNA from 1 species
AUUGAACGCUGGCGGCAGGCCUAACACAUGCAAGUCGAGCGCGCGGCGGACGGGUGAGUAAUGUCUGGGAAACUGCCCGAUGGAGGGGGAUAACUACUGGAAACGGUAGCUAAUACCGCAUAUUAUCAGAUGUUCCCAGAUGGGAUUCGCUAGUAGGUCGGGUAACGGCUCACCUAGGCGACGAUCCCUAGCUGGUCUGAGAGGCUGACCAGCCACACUGGAACUGAGACACGGUCCAGACUCCUACGGGAGGCAGCAGGGGGGAAUAUUGCACAAUGGGCGCAAGCCUGAUGCAGCCAUGCCGCGUGUGUGAAGAAGGCCUUCGGGUUGUAAAGCACUUUCAGCGGGGAGGCGUUACCCGCAGAAGAAGCACCGGCUAACUCCGUGCCAGCCGCCGCGGUAAUAC